rnacentral:rRNA from 1 species
AUCCCUUGACAUCCUGCGAACUUUCUAGAGAUAGAUUGGUGCCUUCGGGAACGCAGUGACAGGUGCUGCAUGGCUGUCGUCAGCUCGUGUCGUGAGAUGUUGGGUUAAGUCCCGCAACGAGCGCAACCCUUAUCAUUAGUUGCUAACAUUUAGUUGAGAACUCUAAUGAGACUGCCGGUGAUAAACCGGAGGAAGGCGGGGACGACGUCAAGUCAUCAUGGCCCUUAUGGGAUGGGCUACACACGUGCUACAAUGGGGGGUACAAAGAGCAGCCAACUGGCAACAGUGCGCGAAUCUCAUAAAACCUCUCGUAGUCCGGAUCGGAGUCUGCAACUCGACUCCGUGAAGUCGGAAUCGCUAGUAAUCGUGAAUCAGAAUGUCACGGUGAAUACGU